GAGUUUGAUCAUGGCUCAGAUUGAACGCUGGCGGCAUGCCUUACACAUGCAAGUCGAACGGCAGCAUGAUCUAGCUUGCUAGAUUGAUGGCGAGUGGCGAACGGGUGAGUAAUACAUCGGAACGUGCCCUGUAGUGGGGGAUAACUAGUCGAAGGAUUAGCUAAUACCGCAUACGACCUGAGGGUGAAAGUGGGGGACCGCAAGGCCUCAUGCUAUAGGAGCGGCCGAUGUCUGAUUAGCUAGUUGGUGGGGUAAAGGCCACCAAGGCGACGAUCAGUAGCUGGUCUGAGAGGACGAUCAGCCACACUGGGACUGAGACACGGCCCAGACUCCUACGGGAGGCAGCAGUGGGGAAUUUUGGACAAUGGGCGAAAGACCUGAUCCAGCAA
rnacentral:rRNA from 1 species